rnacentral:rRNA from 1 species
AUGCACGCUGGCGGCGUGCUUCACCCCUGCCAGUCGCACGGGAAUUACUUUAUUGAAACUUCGGUCGAUUUAAUUUAAUUCUAGUGGCGGACGGGUGAGUAACGCGUGGGUAACCUGCCUUAUACAGGGGGAUAACAGUCAGAAAUGGCUGCUAAUACCGCAUAAGCGCACAGAGCUGCAUGGCUCGGUGUGAAAAACUCCGGUGGUAUAAGAUGGACCCGCGUUGGAUUAGCUUGUUGGUGGGGUAACGGCCCACCAAGGCGACGAUCCAUAGCCGGCCUGAGAGGGUGAACGGCCACAUUGGGACUGAGACACGGCCCAGACUCCUACGGGAGGCAGCAGUGGGGAAUAUUGCACAAUGGGGGAAACCCUGAUGCAGCGACGCCGCGUGAAGGAAGAAGUAUCUCGGUAUGUAAACUUCUAUCAGCAGGGAAGAUAGUGACGGUACCUGACUAAGAAGCCCCGGCUAACUACGU